UCUCUCUCUCUCUCUCAUUAGUAUAUAUCUAACUAUACAGGAUAUGUGAGAUCUGAAGUGAAUUUAUAAACAAGUCCUGGUCAUGCUUUUCCACAGCUUUCUUGAACUUCAAUUCUCUGCUGUCUAAGCUUAUCGCUUUCAAGAUUAGCUAGCGCCAUCGAAGCUCAAGAAAGCUGUGGGAGAACAUGGCAAUUCCGGACUCUGAUGAAUUGCUGCUUACAAUGUAAGUGCAGUGCAGCAGACAACGCAAGUACUGUGUACAGACCAAUUCUUGUGUUUAGCCGAAGAAUUAUAAGGUCAUCUUCUUCAUCAUGUAUAUUUUCUGGUUUCCCUUCUCCAUAAGUUUUGACAGAAUUCUUUGAAUUUCCCUGAAGACAAACCCAUGAAGAUGAAAUUCAGUGUUCCUUUCUUCUUUUUUACCUAAAACUUUGUUAUAUCUACUGGCACACGUUUGAGCCAUGCAUGGGAAGGGGCUGCAGAAUGGUAAUUUUAAAAUACAUUUUUCUUCUUGUCUUGUCUGGUACAUUUUGAUGAAAUUUCCAUUUAAUUUAAAAUAAUAUUCCUGAUUCAUUCAAUCAAUAUGGUGAAAAUUUGAGUU